GCAAACAAACAACCUGAAUGUGCCUGAUUUCAUCUCAGUGUAAAAGCUAAGCAGGUUUGGGCCUCUUAGCAUUUUGGAUGAAUGACCAGCUGUGAGUAGCUGGAGGUCCGAGUUUUGUU
rnacentral:rRNA from 1 species